AUGAGAUUGUUGUGUCUUCUCCUGUGCCUGGUGACAUCUCCCAACAGUGUCCUGUCCCAGGUGCAACUGCAGGAGUCAGGACCUGGCCUGGUUAAGCCCUCACAGACCCUGUCUCUCACCUGUGCUGUGUCUGGAUUCUCCAUCACAACCAGUCCUUACUGCUGGGCCUGGAUCUGUCAGCUCCCAGGGAAGGGCCUAGACUGGAUGGGUACCAUAUGUUAUAGUUACACUGGUUACAGCCCAUUCCUCAAGUGCUGCAUCUCCAUCUCUAGAGAUACAUCCAAGAACCAGUUCACCCUGCAGCUGAGCUCCCUGACUGCAAAGGACACAGCCAUGUAUUAG